GUAGGUGGCAAGCGUUGUCCGGGAAUUAUUGGGGCGUAAAGCGCGCGCAGGCGGUUCUUUAAGUCUGAUGUGAAAGCCCACGGGCUCAACCGUGGAGGGUCAUUGGAAACUGGAGAACUUGAGUACAGAAGAGGAAAGCGGAAUUCCACGUGUAGCGGUGAAAUGCGUAGAGAUGUGGAGGAACACCAGUGGCGAAGGCGGCUUUCUGGUCUGUAACUGACGCUGAGGCGCGAAAGCGUGGGGAGCAAACAGGAUUAGAUACCCUGGUAGUCCACGCCGUAAACGAUGAGUGCUAAGUGUUAGGGGGUUUCCGCCCCUUAGUGCUGCAGCUAACGCAUAAGCACUCCGCCUGGGGAGUACGGCCGCAAAGGCUGA
rnacentral:rRNA from 1 species